AACGCAUAUUGCGCCCUCUGGCAUUCCGGGGGGCAUGCCUGUUCGAGCGUCAUUUUCCAUCACUCAAGCACUUUGCUUGGUCAUGGGUCUCGCCUCGGGAGAGGCGUACCUGGAAGUUAGCGGCGGUGUGGCCGGUCUUCGAGCGCAUUAACAUACAUUCGCUACGAGGGCUUUCUGGUCUGCUCCAGCCGGAUUGAACCUUUUUUUUUCAAUGAUUGACCUCGGAUCAGGUAGGGAUACCCGCUGAACUUAA
rnacentral:misc_RNA from 1 species